GACCGCGUAGCUCAGUUGGCAGACCAUUGGGCUAGUAUUCCAAAGGUCGUAGGUUCGAUUCCCACCGUGAGUCC
rnacentral:tRNA from 1 species